UGGUCGAACGGUAACGCUCCAGGCUGCCGAGUUUCAGGGCCGCGGUUCGAAUCCUAGU
rnacentral:tRNA from 1 species